AUUGAACGCUGGCGGCAGGCCUAACACAUGCAAGUCGAGCGAGCGGCGGGCGGGGGAGUAAUGUAUGGGGACUGCCCGAUAGAGGGGGAUAACUAGUGGAAACGGUAGCUAAUACCGCAUACUAUCGGAUAACCCAUAUGGGAUUAGCUAGUAGGUGAGGUAAUGGCUCACCUAGGCGACGAACCCUAGCUGGUCUGAGAGGAUGAUCAGCAACACUGGGACUGAGACACGGCCCAGACUCCUACGGAGGCAGCAGUGGGGAAUAUUGGACAAUGGGCGCAAGUCUGAUGGAGCCAUGCCGCGUGGAUGAAGAAGGCCUUAGGGUUGUAAAGUACUUUCAGUCGGGAGGCGUUAUCGACAGAAGAAGCACCGGCUAACUCCGUGCCAGCCGCCGCGGUAAUUC
rnacentral:rRNA from 1 species